GAGUGCCUGACCCUUGGAAGCCUUGUGCCUUUCUGACGUGAUAUUCCUAUUUUGGGGGCUGCAAACUGUGGAGAUAAAUUGUGGCUGCUGAAGGAAUUGUCUGGAUGAAGCCUAUGACAAGAAUCCAGUCUCUGAUAGAGUACCAGGACUCAGGUUGCUGAUUAAGCCUGUUCUGCCCAGAUUGCCAUCAUUGCUGCCUGGGUCCAUCACCAUAAUGGACAAGGAAACACAUCCAUGGUCACAGACUGGGCACAAAGUAAAGGUCUCUAUGCUCCUGAUGCAGAUGCUAUGACUGCAUGCCAGACUUGGAACUUCUGCCAAAAGUUGCAACAAAGGGAGGACACAUCACAUUGGGCAUUGACCCACCUGCAAUGGCAGAUUGACAUUUGACUUUUGAUUCCCUCUCACGACAGUCCAUGGGACCUCACUGCUGUGGACUCUUUUCCAGAUUAUGGUGUUUUUGUUCCAGUUGAUCAUCCAAUUCUGGCCACACCAUUAUGGCAUUUGAAACUAAUCCAUGCCAUGUUUUGGGCUGUCUAAAUGAUCUGAAGUCUGACACUAGUGUGCCUUUUAUCACAAAAGUCAUUCAACAGUGUGCUGAUGUUGAAGUUAUUUGAUGAACCUUCCAUGCUCGUCAACUGAGCCAUCUGUGGGCAUCUGGUAUUGUGGAACAUUGGAAUGGUCUCCUCAUUAACAUCUCCUAUUCUUCUUCCCUCACCUUCUCCUGAUCAACACACCUUAGUAAGACAAUUGAUCAUUCAAUGCCAGUCUUACUGGGAAGGGAUCAUUUACUCUCAGUUGCUUCCUGAGUAAUGAUUAGGAGCAAAGAGGUGAGAGUUAUAUAGACUUAUUUUAAAAAUUCAGGACUCUGCCCAAAUAUUCCUGGGCAUGAUG
rnacentral:lncRNA from 1 species